GGCGAGAGGCGGGGGCAGGAGCGGCGGUGAUGGAUGGGUCCGGGGAGCACCCCAGAGGCGAGGGGCCCACCAGCUCUGAGCAGAUCAUGAAGACAGGGGCCCUUUUGCUUCAGGGGAUGAUUGCCACUGUGGACACAAACUCCCCCCGAGAGGUCUUUCUUCGAGUGGCAGCUGACAUGUUCUCUGACGGCAACUUUAACUGGGGCCGGGUUGUCGCCUUUUUCUACCUUGCCAGCAAACUGGUGCUCAAGGCCCUGUGUGCCAAGGUGCCCGAGCUGAUCAGAACCAUCAUGGGCUGGACUUUGGACUUGCUCCGGGAGCAGCUGUUGGGCUGGAUCCAAGACCAGGGUGGUUGGGAUAGCCUCCUCUCCUACUUUGGGACACCCACGUGGCAGACAGGGACCAUCUUUGUGGCUGGAGUGCUCACCGCCUCACUUACCAUCUGGAAGAACAUGGGCUGAGGCCCCCAGCUGCCUUGGACUGUUUUUCCUCCAUAAAUUAUGGCAUUUUUCGGGGAAGGGUGGGGAUUGGGAGACGUGGGCAUUUUUCUUACUUUUGUAAUUAUUGGGGAGGAUGGGGAGGAGUGGUCUGGAGGGGGUAAUAAACCUCCUUUGG